CAUAAUGAUGAACAAAAAUGAUAUUUCGCUGUGUUCUUACUGAGACACGUCUUUGAAGAUACCAUCACCUUGGAGAACUGACCU
rfam:Aureobasidium namibiae CBS 147.97 unplaced genomic scaffold scaffold_11, whole genome shotgun sequence.